GUGGGCAUAGCUCAGUGGUAGAGCGCAUGUUUAGCAUGCAUGAGUUUCUGAGGUCCUGGGUUCAAUUCCCAGUUCCUCCA
rnacentral:tRNA from 1 species